rnacentral:rRNA from 1 species
AGUGAACGCUGGCGGUAGGCCUAACACAUGCAAGUCGAACGGCAGCACAGUAAGAGCUUGCUCUUACGGGUGGCGAGUGGCGGACGGGUGAGGAAUACAUCGGAAUCUACUUUUUCGUGGGGGAUAACGUAGGGAAACUUACGCUAAUACCGCAUACGACCUACGGGUGAAAGCAGGGGAUCUUCGGACCUUGCGCGAUUGAAUGAGCCGAUGUCGGAUUAGCUAGUUGGCGGGGUAAAGGCCCACCAAGGCGACGAUCCGUAGCUGGUCUGAGAGGAUGAUCGCCCACACUGGACUUGAGACACGGUCCAGCCCCUAACGGAAGCCAGAGGUGGGAAUUAUUGGCCAAUGGGCGCAAGCCUGAUCAAGCCAUACCGCGUGGGUGAAGAAGGCCUCCGGUUGGUAAAGCCCUUUUGUUGGGAAAGAAAACAGGCAGGUUAAUCCCCCGCUGUUCGGCGGUACCCCAAAGAAUAAGAACCGCUAACUUCGUG